ACUGUCUCGGGGAUUUACUCGGUGAAAAUGCGAUACCGGUGAAGAUGCCGGUUAAGUGCAGUUAGACGAAAAGACCCCGGAAGCUUUACUGUAAGUUGUUAUUGGCUUUAUGUUUUUAAUACGUAGCGUAGUGGGGAGGCUUUGAAGCGUUUCUCUCGGGAGGCGUGGAGCCGCCAAUGAAAUACCCAUUUUUAAAAAUGUAAAAUCUAACCUGUCCGGCAAAACCGGAUGGGGACAGUAGCUGCUGGGCAGUUUGUGUGGGGCGCAAGCCUCCUAAAAAGUAACGGAGGCGUUUAUUAAGGUCAGCUAGGCGCGGAUGGACACCGCGCUAGUCGUGCAAUGGCAUAAGCUGGCUUGACUGGAAGUCGGACAUGACGACCAGAUGCGAAAGCAGAACAUAGUGAACCGACCGUUGGCACUCGAUGCCACGGAAGAUUAACGGAUAAAAGCUACUCCGGGGAUAACAGGCUAGUUCCGUCCAAGAGUCCAUAUCGACGACGGAGUUCGGCACCUC
rnacentral:rRNA from 1 species